CCUCUAUGAACAAAUAUUACAAUUAUUAUAACAUAUUUUCUUUUGCAAAACAGAGCUGUUGGAACAAAAAAAAAAAGACCAGCACUAUGGCAACCUUAGAAACCAAAACAUCACAUUGUGACAACAUUAAAAACCAAAACAUAACUUGAUUAAACUAGAUACAUGGAGGAGAGGAAGAUGGCUAACCGUGAGGAGGACAGGGAGGGGGUUAGGGCACGUGUGGAGACGACAAAGGGGCGUCUGGAGGCAGCAGGUGAUGGGAUAGGUGCAACAACACUGCCAGUGUGAGCGACGAAGAUAGGGACAUCGAGAAUGCC
rnacentral:lncRNA from 1 species